AUUGAACGCUGGCGGCAAGCCUAACACAUGCAAGUCGAACGAGUGGCGGACGGGUGAGUAAUGUCUGGGAAACUGCCUGACGGAGGGGGAUAACUACUGGAAACGGUAGCUAAUACCGCAUACCAUCGGAUGUGCCCAGGUGGGAUUAGCUAGUAGGUGGGGUAAAGGCUCACCUAGGCGACGAUCCCUAGCUGGCCUAAGAGGAUGACCAGCCACAAUGGAACUGAGACACGGUCCAGACUCCUCGGGGAGGGAGCAGUGGGGAAUAUUGCACAAUGGGCUAAAGCCUGAUGCAGCCAUGCCGCGUGUCUGAAGAAGGCCUUCGGAUUGUAAAGUACUUUCAGCGGGGAGGCGUUACCCGCAUAAGAAGCACCGGCUAACUCCGUGCCAGCAGCCGCGGUAAUUC
rnacentral:rRNA from 1 species